UGGGAUUAAAGGUGUAUACUAAAGGAUUCC
rnacentral:piRNA from 1 species